GACUCCUUCAAGUCUCGUGGUUUUUAUCCUUCAUACCGAAGGGGUUUUCCACGUAUAAAUCUUGUGUGUCACUUGCGUAUUAUAAUUCAUAUUUGCUUGUGAUUCAAUUGAUGUGUUGCUGAUUUGAGCUUGAUUAAUAUAGUGGUGAAUUUCUUUUGGUAAAUUGGUGAAGUAUAUUUGGUUGAUUGUCUUGAAGUCGAUCCUUGUAGGUGUUGUAUCCUACUUGUGUUGUUUUGUGCCUCCCCUCACACUAGAAUCCAUGAAAUAUCGAAUGUUGUUUAA
rnacentral:misc_RNA from 1 species